GUUGCAUCCUGGUUCAUCUCUCCCCUACUGUCAGGAAUGAUGUCAGGGUUCCUCUUCUUUCUCAUCAGACACUUCAUCCUGAAUCAGGAUGACCCGGUGCCCAACGGUCUCCGUGCCCUGCCAGUGUUCUACGCCUCAACAAUAGGCAUCAACGCCUUCUCCAUCCUUUACACAGGAGCACCAUUGCUAGGUCUGGAGAUGUUACCGGUGUGGGCUAUAGCUCUGAUCACGCUGGCGGGG